CUCAGCGCUGGCGUUUGAUAACUUGGUGCAUGUAGAUGCUUAGCCAAUCAGUCUCUAGGCUUGUGAAUAUGGAAUCCGGGUGCUCACAAGGACAAGAGGUGUAUGAAAAGAAAAACAUAAAGAAAUCGUGCAAGGAUCGAAAGUUUGAAGUGUCUGUUGGAAUGAUCAACAUCGAACUUUCUGAGACUUCGUACUGAAAGUGAAUCCGUUCGUGACACCAAUUAUCUGUCAACCAGGUUGACUCAACCUUCUAACAUAACCAUUUGCUAAUUUCAUAGAAUAUCAGUGAGGAAGUGAUUCUCUAGCAAACACGUCAGAAGUUUUGGAUCUUCAUUAAUUGGGAUCUUUGGCACGUGCGUUGGGGGGAAAUAGCAUCUGUUGAUUUUAUGGGAUCAUUGUAUCAAUAUAGUUGUGUAGUAAAUAUUUUUUGCAUGUAAUACAUGUGUUUGUCACUCUAGUCAAUAACUUUGUACCAGUACAUAAGCAUGAUAAGCCACUGGCAGUUCAUUGUAAAUGUAUACUUUGU